CUGCCUUUGGGCUCCUCCUCCCCCCAUGCACCCCAGGCUCGCUGCUGCACAGACUCACUUGCCUCCCUCGUUGCCAAAUCCAACACUUGCUUUCCAGCGCUCUUCUUGCCUUCCCCUCAGACCUCCUUCUUGAACCACUCUUUCUCUGCCAAUCCAGAAUUCUCACCAGACUCUCCUUCCUCGACAGUGCCUCUUCCUUUGCCUGUCCCUCAUCGGCCUGCUCUCCUUCUACCCUAUGGCAAGCUCCAGGCAAUGCCAUCCCCUUUGGCCUCUGCUGAGGACCCUCUAUCCUCUAUCUGCCCUGCCUUCCCCCAAAGCUACACAACCACGUAUCGCACUGCCACUCGACCUCUCCCUCUGAAUGUUCCACAGCUCCCUUAACCUUGAAGGAAUUGAAACAGACCUCAUCAUUUCCAAGACUGUAGCCCACAGGCUUCCUCCUUCAACCUGACCCUCAUGCUCCCCAUCCCCAGGAAAGGCACCACCAUCCAGACACUUUGCAAGCUGAAAACAGUCAUUUUCAGCUCCUCCCCACACCCCACUGCCCUAUGAUAUCUGUUACAGAGGCCUGGCUGGUUGACCUUGUAAGAUCAAUCCCCAUGGCCAGUGCCUGGUCCAAAGCCCCAGUGCACGGUUGCAUAUUCUAGCUGUAAGUCCUCUGGUUCUUCUGUGUGAGCCCCUGCCACAGCAUGGCUACUGACAGACGGGUGGUGUGGUUCUACCACCGGGAAGCGAACCUGGAAGUGAGAGUGCCAAACUCUAACCACUAGGCCAUCAGGGCUGGCUCUCAGAGCAUCCCCUUUUAUAUAUCCUCUUGCAUUAGCUUCCUGUAUCCCUUACAGCUGCUUCUCAAACUUAAAUGUGCAUUUGAAUAACCUGGGGGGGGGGGACUUUAAAAACUCUUCAUGACCAGGUCCAACAUAGACCAAUUAAAUCAGAACUCCUGGAUGUGGGGUUCAGACAUCAGCAUUUUUUAAGGUGAUUGCAACAUACAGCCAAGGCUAAGAACCACUGUAAUAAAGACUUUGAGCUGCAAAUAACAUGUCUGGGGCUCGAGUUAGGUCAAUCAGUGGCUCUGAAACUUUAGCAUGCAUCAGAGUCACUUAGCGGGCUUGUUACAAUACAGAUUGUCAGGCCCCCACCUCCAGAGUUUCUGAGUCAGCAGGUCUGGGAUGGAUUCCAUGCAUUUGCAAUGGUGCUUGUCCAGGGCUCACACUUUGAGAACCAAUGCUUAAACAAUGAGGAAAUUUAUGGUUUCACCUAACACAGAUGCAAGGGGUAGGGAGGGCUCCAGUUAGUGCAAGGUGGAUCUUCAACUGCAAAUUGAAGUUGUGCUUCCAUUCAUUCUUUGGCUCCUGCUUUCUGGUGAGGCCAAGUUUCCCAGCAGAUGUUCAAGGUGCUUUGGGGCUGGGCCCCGCUACCCCUCCAGCCUCAUUUCUCUCCACAGCCUCCUUCCCUUCACAUUCCAAGGAGUCCUGAAUCUCCAGUGGUUCUUGGGAUGUUUCAUUCGGCUUUGCCCUCGCAAGGCAUGAUCAGCCCAGGAGGGAGGCGGCAUAGGUUUUUCUGUCUCCCAGCACAUGCCCCCUCCCACUGCAUCCUUUCCUAUGGCACCAUCUGCAACACUCACCCAGACCAGCUGGCACGGUCACUCCCUUCUGCACAGGAAUCACUUACUUCUACCUCCACACCUUUGUUCAUGACUCACUUCCCACCCAGAAUUCCCUCCUACCCUCUGCUUCACCUGUCUAAAUACUCACCCUAAAGGGACAGCCAAGUCUCACUGUCCCUCAGGAUCCACCAGCACAUCUCUUUCCCUGAUCUGCCCAGCUUUCCCAAAUCCUGCUUUGUGUCAUUAGCUGUCCUUCCGAGUAUUGGCCUUGGCCUCCAACUGGGCUGUAUGACACUUGAGGGUGAGGGCAAGGCCUUUCCACAGCCCAGUGGCAAGGUGGGAGGAGCAUGGAUCUUGGAAUGUAGCAGACUCCAGUUGGACUCUGGGUUCUCUGGCUGGCUUCCUCGUUGACCUUGGGUAAGUUACUUGACCUGAGCCUAGUUUUUUUUCACCUGUUUACGUUAGUUCAUAGCAUCACUUGUCUUAAGGCCGCUCUAAAGAUCAACUGAACUCAUCGAUGUGAAAGAAUCUUGUAGUCUCCACUGAGCUGUACAGAGCUGAGCCCUACUCUUGCUUCUCCUUGUCCCCACAUCAAUAGAUUGGAGUCACAGACCUGCAUGUGUCCCUAGGUUCACUCUUCACCCGCACAACCUCUGGAAAGUCACUUAAUGAGCACCUCCUAGAGCAUCAGUCUCCUAAUCUGUGGGAUGGGAAUGUGAGAAAAUGCAAUGGAAUGCAAAGCUCAAUAAAUGUCACAUGCAAAAUGCUUGGUGAAUGAAAUUCUUCUUAAAAGUACAGCUUCGUCUCUAGGUGGUGGAGAAACUGGUCCAUCAUUGGGCCUACAGUUCUGAAUAGCAAAUUAAGGAGGAAAAACGCCAGGAUGCUCUGGAUACCUCCUCCCAGCCCUCCCCACCUCACUGCCCACAGCUGAGUCAAUGCCAAUCUCCCCUUCCCUCCAAGGACAAAAGGGAAGGAAAUGAGGCCACUUUACUUGCUCUCUGACUGGAUCUGUUUCCUCAGCCGGGGUUGCUGGCGUGUCUGUCUGUCAUCUAGUCUCUGCAGCAGCCUCUCUCCUCAGAGAGUCCUGCACCAUCUGGAGAGGCGCCCUCGUGGACAUGGAAAUGUUCAAAUCUGGAAUCCCUGGCCCUGGUACUUCCACUCGCUCUGGGGUGCGGGGCUGGGAAGCCCACGGAGCAUGCCUAUUCUGGGAACAUUCCCUCUCCAGUUAAGCAGGUCUAAUCCAAAUUCUAUCAAAUUAGUCUUUCAGAAUAGCUCCUUUAUGGUGAAAUCCGAAUAAGCUCUGUAGAUGGUAUCAACGCCAAUUUCCUGAUUUGGAUAUUGUGUCACAGUUAUGUAAGAUGUUAGCAUUGGGGGAAACUGGGCGAAGGGUACAUGGAACCUUCCUGUUCAUUUUUUUCAACUCCCUGUGAAUCUAUAAUUAGUUCAAAGUAAAAAAUGUCCUGUUAAAAAUCUCAUUUUCAACUUCCUUUCCACUCCCCAGCCACCCAUUAUCACUUCCCUCUUGGAUACUUGCGACCACCCCCUGGUUUUCCUCCUGUCUUUAGUCUUGGCUCACGCUGGCCCUCCCAGAGAAUCUCUGAGACCGGAUCUUGCCCUGUCUUGCCCUGUAAUAACCGGCGGGGGCUCCUCUCUGGUUGCGGGAGUGAGCCGGCACUCAAGGCCCUCCAGACACUUCCAAUCUUAUCUGCGGCUGUUUAUUUUGCUGUGCCCCGGUUCCCCACCGUGUCUCUCCAUUUCAGGUCUUUGCGGAGAGAGUCCCGCGCUCGAGCCCAGGACUACCCUUUCCCUCUCCAUUAACUGUAAAAGCCCCGGAGUUUCCCGUUAAAGAGAGUAAUAACGCCGCCUUGCCUCCCUGAAAGGAUCCAGUCUGUGACGGCUGCAACAACGCCUUUAAUAAACGAUUAUCAGUAACUUGUUCAAGGGAAAGCCUGAGCGGGGCCUGCACAUCUUCGCCCCAGCCCUCGGCGACAACAAGGCCUCAGCAGCCAGGCCCCUCUAACGAGCAGGCCCCGCCCCCGAGAC
ensembl:lncRNA